UACGUAGGGUGCAAGCGUUGUCCGGAAUUAUUGGGCGUAAAGAGCUCGUAGGCGGUUCUUUAAGUCUGAUGUGAAAGCCCACGGCUCAACCGUGGAGGGUCAUUGGAAACUGGGGAACUUGAGUACAGAAGAGGGAAGCGGAAUUCCACGUGUAGCGGUGAAAUGCGUAGAGAUGUGGAGGAACACCAGUGGCGAAGGCGGCUUUCUGGUCUGUAACUGACGCUGAGGCGCGAAAGCGUGGGGAGCAAACAGG
rnacentral:rRNA from 1 species